rnacentral:rRNA from 1 species
CCUACGGGCGGCAGCAGUGGGGAAUAUUGGACAAUGGGGGCAACCCUGGUCCAGCCAUGCCGCGUGUGUGAAGAAGGCCCUCGGGUUGUAAAGCACUUUCAGUGAGGAAGAACGCCUGGUGGUUAAUACCCAUCAGGAAAGACAUCACUCACAGAAGAAGCACCGGCUAACUCCGUGCCAGCAGCCGCGGUAAUACGGAGGGUGCGAGCGUUAAUCGGAAUUACUGGGCGUAAAGCGCGCGUAGGUGGCUUGAUAAGCCGGUUGUGAAAGCCCCGGGCUCAACCUGGGAACGGCAUCCGGAACUGUCAAGCUAGAGUGCAGGAGAGGAAGGUAGAAUUCCCGGUGUAGCGGUGAAAUGCGUAGAGAUCGGGAGGAAUACCAGUGGCGAAGGCGGCCUUCUGGACUGACACUGACACUGAGGUGCGAAAGCGUGGGUAGCAAACAGGAUUAGAUACCCCUGUAGUC